AGAUGAUAUUAUCAGUUGUAGCUAAUCCUUGAGCAGCUCCGGAGUUCUAAACCAACUCUGUACCAUCAAAAGGGGAUUUUAUUGAUAUUCUAAAAUCAGAAUAGAGUUAUCAUUUUCUGACCAAGUCCUGGACCAGAAAGUUCAUCUACACCUACAGCUUAAAGCAGUUCCCUACAGAAGCAGCCUUCUACGGUUCUGCUCCAGACAGCUCUAAAGGUUCAUCUACACCUACAGCUUAAAGCAGUUCCCUACAGAAGCAGCAUUCUACAGUUCUGCUCCAGACUGCUCCGUGUUCUGAAGACUCAUCAAUUCCAGCAGUUUAGAAGCUCCCUAAAUUCCCCCACAGAAACUAACUACACAGUAAAAACACUCCUAUAUAUUCUGUAACAAGUUUUUACCAAUAAACAUUUUUCAACCACCACCAUGUAUCAUUUAAUUAGACCUAAGGUUUAACAAAUGGUGGGGCGCGAACCUGUUCCCAGUUACCUAUCGUUGUUUAAGCCUGUUUGCCUACCACCUGUUUAACUCUUGUUAUACCCCUGACCUGCAGAUCUUUUUGAACCUGUGGAAGAUUUAAGUUCGAGUUCUUGUUCCCGUUAUCCUGCUCCAUCAUUACAUACCAGAGAUUCCACAUGCUGUCACACCCGUCUAAUUAUAAUUGAAAUGAGCACAUUUGAAAUACCAAUUUUAGAGUUUA